CGGGUCCUACGGGGGGCAGCAGUGGGGAAUAUUGCACAAUGGGGGAAACCCUGAUGCAGCGACGCCGCGUGGGUGAAGAAGUAUUUCGGUACGUAAAGCUCUAUCAGCAGGGAAGAAUAAUGACGGUACCUGACUAAGAAGCCCCGGCUAACUACGUGCCAGCAGCCGCGGUAAUACGUAGGAGGCAAGCGUUAUCCGGAUUUACUGGGUGUAAAGGGAGCGUAGACGGCGGUGCAAGUCUGAAGUGAAAGGCCGGGGCCCAACCCCGGAACUGCUUUGGAAACUGUACAGCUAGAGUGCAGGAG
rnacentral:rRNA from 1 species